UACGUAGGGUGCAAGCGUUAAUCGGAAUUACUGGGCGUAAAGCGUGCGCAGGCGGUUGUGCAAGACAGGUGUGAAAUCCCCGGGCUUAACCUGGGAACUGCACUUGUGGCUGCACAGCUGGAGUACGGCAGAGGGGGAUGGAAUUCCGCGUGUAGCAGUGAAAUGCGUAGAUAUGCGGAGGAACACCGAUGGCGAAGGCAGUCCCCUGGGCCUGUACUGACGCUCAUGCACGAAAGCGUGGGGAGCAAACAGG
rnacentral:rRNA from 1 species